rnacentral:rRNA from 1 species
UAUGCGAAAAACAAACCUUAGCUAGCAGUAUCCUGAGUAGGGCGGGACACGAGGAAUCCUGUCUGAAUCUGGGUCGACCACGAUCCAACCCUAAAUACUAAUACCAGAUCGAUAGUGCACAAGUACCGUGAGGGAAAGGUGAAAAGAACUGAGGUGAUCAGAGUGAAAUAGAACCUGAAACCAUUUGCUUACAAUCAUUCAGAGCCCUAUGUAGCAAUACAGGGUGAUGGACUGCCUUUUGCAUAAUGAGCCUGCGAGUUGUGGUGUCUGGCAAGGUUAAGCAAACGCGAAGCCGUAGCGAAAGCGAGUCUGAAUAGGGCGCUUAGUCAGAUGCUGCAGACCCGAAACGAAGUGAUCUAUCCAUGAGCAAGUUGAAGCUAGUGUAAGAACUAGUGGAGGACUGAACCCAUAGGCGUUGAAAAGCCCCGGGAUGACUUGUGGAUAGGGGUGAAAGGCCAAUCAAACUUCGUGAUAGCUGGUUCUCUCCGAAAUAUAUUUAGGUAUAGCGUUGUGUCGUAAUAUAAGGGGGUAGAGCACUGAAUGGGCUAGGGCAUACACCAAUGUACCAAACCCUAUCAAACUCCGAAUACCUUAUAUGUAAUCACAGCAGUCAGGCGGCGAGUGAUAAAAUCCGUCGUCAAGAGGGAAACAACCCAGACUACCAGCUAAGGUCCCUAAAUCUUACUUAAGUGGAAAACGAUGUGAAGUUACUUAAACAACCAGGAGGUUGGCUUAGAAGCAGCCAUCCUUUAAAGAAAGCGUAAUAGCUCACUGGUCUAGUGAUUUUGCGCGGAAAAUAUAACGGGGCUAAAGUAAGUACCGAAGCUGUAGACUUAGUUUAGUAAGUGGUAGGAGAGCGUUCUAUUUGCGUCGAAGGUAUACCGGUAAGGAGUGCUGGAGCGAAUAGAAGUGAGCAUGCAGGCAUGAGUAGCGAUAAUUAAUGUGAGAAUCAUUAACGCCGUAAACCCAAGGUUUCCUACGCGAUGCUCGUCAUCGUAGGGUUAGUCGGGUCCUAAGUCGAGUCCGAAAGGGGUAGACGAUGGCAAAUUGGUUAAUAUUCCAAUACCAACAUUAGUGUGCGAUGGAAGGACGCUUAGGGCUAAGGGGGCUAGCGGAUGGAAGUGCUAGUCUAAGGUCGUAGGAGGUUAUACAGGCAAAUCCGUAUAACAAUACUCCGAGAACUGAAAGGCUUUUUGAAGUCUUCGGAUG